rnacentral:rRNA from 1 species
UCAUCCUACGGGGCGCAGCAGUGGGGAAUAUUGGACAAUGGGGGGAACCCUGAUCCAGCGACGCCGCGUGAGUGAAGAAGUAUUUCGGUAUGUAAAGCUCUAUCAGCAGGGAAGAAAGAAAUGACGGUACCUGACUAAGAAGCCCCGGCUAACUACGUGCCAGCAGCCGCGGUACUACGUAGGCGGCAAGCGUUAUCCGGAUUUACUGGGUGUAAAGGGAGCGUAGACGGCGAUGCACGUCUGAAGUGAAAG